AGUGGCGGACGGGUGAGUAAUGUCUGGGAAACUGCCUGAUGGAGGGGGAUAACUACUGGAAACGGUAGCUAAUACCGCAUAACGUCGCAAGACCAAAGAGGGGGACCUUCGGGCCUCUUGCCAUCGGAUGUGCCCAGAUGGGAUUAGCUUGUUGGUGGGGCAACGGCUCACCAAGGCGACGAUCCCUAGCUGGUCUGAGAGGAUGACCAGCCACACUGGAACUGAGACACGGUCCAGACUCCUACGGGAGGCAGCAGUGGGGAAUAUUGCACAAUGGGCGCAAGCCUGAUGCAGCCAUGCCGCGUGUAUGAAGAAGGCCUUCGGGUUGUAAAGUACUUUCAGCGGGGAGGAAGGGAGUAAAGUUAAUACCUUUGCUCAUUGACGUUACCCGCAGAAGAAGCACCGGCUAACUCCGUGCCAGCAGCCGCGGUAAUACGGAGGGUGCAAACGUUAAUCGGAAUUACUGGGCGUAAAGCGCACGCAGGCGGUUUGUUAAGUCAGAUGUGAAAUCCCCGGGCUCAACCUGGGAACUGCAUCUGAUACUGGCAAGCUUGAGUCUCGUAGAGGGGGGUAGAAUUCCAGGUGUAGCGGUGAAAUGCGUAGAGAUCUGGAGGAAUACCGGUGGCGAAGGCGGCCCCCUGGACGAAGACUGACGCUCAGGUGCGAAAGCGUGGGGAGCAAACAGGAUUAGAUACCCUGGUAGUCCACGCCGUAAACGAUGUCGACUUGGAGG
rnacentral:rRNA from 1 species